CCCCCAUGGACUAGCGGCCGAGGUCGCCACCUUCUCGGGUGGAGGCACGGGUUCGAAUCCCGUUGGGGGCA
rnacentral:tRNA from 1 species